rnacentral:rRNA from 1 species
UAGGUCCCAGUUCGGAUCGCAGGCUGCAACCCGCCUGCGUGAAGUUGGAAUUGCUAGUAAUCGCGGAUCAGCAUGCCGCGGUGAAUACGUUCCCGGGCCUUGUACACACCGCCCGUCACACCAUGGAAGUCGGUAAUGCCCGAAGUCAGUAGCCUAACCGCAAGGGGGGCGCUGCCGAAGGCAGGAUUGAUGACUGGGGUGAAGUCGUAACAAGGUAUC